rnacentral:rRNA from 1 species
UACGGAGGAUGCGAGCGUUAUCCGGAUUUAUUGGGUUUAAAGGGUGCGUAGGCGGAUUGACAAGUUAGAGGUGAAAUGUCCGAGCUUAACUCGGGAACUGCCUCUAAUACUGUUGAUCUAGAGAGUAGAUGCGGUAGGCGGAAUGUAUGGUGUAGCGGUGAAAUGCUUAGAGAUCAUACAGAACACCGAUUGCGAAGGCAGCUUACCAAUCUAUAUCUGACGUUGAGGCACGAAAGCGUGGGGAGCAAACAGG